rnacentral:rRNA from 1 species
GACGAACGCUGGCGGCGUGCUUAACACAUGCAAGUCGAACGGAAAGGCCCUGCUUUUGUGGGGUGCUCGAGUGGCGAACGGGUGAGUAACACGUGAGUAACCUGCCCUUGACUUUGGGAUAACUUCAGGAAACUGGGGCUAAUACCGGAUAGGAGCUCCUGCUGCAUGGUGGGGGUUGGAAAGUUUCGGCGGUUGGGGAUGGACUCGCGGCUUAUCAGCUUGUUGGUGGGGUAGUGGCUUACCAAGGCUUUGACGGGUAGCCGGCCUGAGAGGGUGACCGGCCACAUUGGGACUGAGAUACGACACAGACUCCUACGGGAGGCAGCGGUGGGGAAUAUUGCACAAUGGGCGGAAGCCUGAUGCAGCAACGCCGCGUGCGGGAUGACGGCCUUCGGGUUGUAAACCGCUUUCGCCUGUGACGAAGCGUGAGUGACGGUAAUGGGUAAAGAAGCACCGGCGAACUACGUG